UGGAUCCAGACUUUGAUUAUGGCUCAGGAUGAACGCUAGCUACAGGCUUAACACAUGCAAGUCGAGGGGAAACGACAUCGAAAGCUUGCUUUUGAUGGGCGUCGACCGGCGCACGGGUGAGUAACGCGUAUCCAACCUGCCCAUCACUUGGGGAUAACCUUGCGAAAGUAAGACUAAUACCCAAUGAUAUCUCUAGAAGACAUCUGAAAGAGAUUAAAGAUUUAUCGGUGAUGGAUGGGGAUGCGUCUGAUUAGCUUGUUGGCGGGGUAACGGCCCACCAAGGCGACGAUCAGUAGGGGUUCUGAGAGGAAGGUCCCCCACAUUGGAACUGAGACACGGUCCAAACUCCUACGGGAGGCAGCAGUGAGGAAUAUUGGUCAAUGGACGAGAGUCUGAACCAGCCAAGUAGCGUGCAGGAUGACGGCCCUAUGGGUUGUAAACUGCUUUUAUAAGGGAAUAAAGUGAGUCUCGUGAGACUUUUUGCAUGUACCUUAUGAAUAAGGACCGGCUAAUUCCGUGCCAGCAGCCGCGGUAAUACGGAAGGUCCGGGCGUUAUCCGGAUUUAUUGGGUUUAAAGGGAGCGUAGGCCGGAGAUUAAGCGUGUUGUGAAAUGUAGACGCUCAACGUCUGCACUGCAGCGCGAACUGGUUUCCUUGAGUACGCACAAAGUGGGCGGAAUUCGUGGUGUAGCGGUGAAAUGCUUAGAUAUCACGAAGAACUCCGAUUGCGAAGGCAGCUCACUGGAGCGCAACUGACGCUGAAGCUCGAAAGUGCGGGUAUCGAACAGGAUUAGAUACCCUGGUAGUCCGCACGGUAAACGAUGGAUGCCCGCUGUUGGUCUGAAUAGGUCAGCGGCCAAGCGAAAGCAUUAAGCAUCCCACCUGGGGAGUACGCCGGCAACGGUGCAACUCAAAGGAAUUGACGGA
rnacentral:rRNA from 1 species